GCAUUGGUGGUUUAAUAGUAAGAAUUCUUGCCUUCCAUCCAGGAGACCAAGGUUCAAUUCCCAGCUGAUGCA
rnacentral:tRNA from 1 species